rfam:Triticum aestivum genome assembly, contig: Triticum_aestivum_CS42_TGACv1_scaffold_577026_7BL
GCUUAGUUGAUAAAGCACAAGGCUCUUAACCUUGUGGACGUAGAUUCAAGUCCCAU